GAUGAAGAACGCAGCGAAAUGCGAUACUUGGUGUGAAUUGCAGAAUCCCGCGAAUCAUCGAGUUUUUGAACGCAAGUUGCGCCCGAAGCCAUUCGGCCGAGGGCACGUCUGCCUGGGUGUCACGCAUCGUUGCCCCCCCAAACUCCGGUUCGGGCGGGGCGGAAGUUGGCCUCCCGUGUGUGCCUGCGCGCGCGGUUAGCCCAAAAGCGAGUCCUCGGCGAUGAGCGCCACGACAAUCGGUGGUUUUUUUACCCUCGUUCCUCGUCGUGCGUGCCCCGUCGCCCGAACGCGCUCUUGCAACCCUUACGCGUCGCCUCGGUGGCGCUCCCAACGCGACCCCAGGUCAGGCGGGACUACCCGCUGAGUUUAAGCAUAUCAAUAAGCGGAGGA
rnacentral:misc_RNA from 1 species